rnacentral:rRNA from 1 species
UGGGGAAUCUUCCGCAAUGGACGAAAGUCUGACGGAGCAACGCCGCGUGUAUGAUGAAGGUCUUCGGAUUGUAAAGUACUGUCAUUGGGGAAGAACGGUUUUCUUGAAAAGAUUGAGAAGACAUGACGGUACCCAAGGAGGAAGCCCCGGCUAACUACGUGCCAGCAGCCGCGGUAAUACGUAGGGGGCAAGCGUUGUCCGGAAUUAUUGGGCGUAAAGGGCGCGUAGGCGGGCCUUUAAGUCCGGUGUGAAAGAUCAGGGCUCAACCCCGAGAGUGCAUCGGAAACUGGAGGCCUUGAGGACAGGAGAGGAAAGUGGAAUUCCACGUGUAGCGGUGAAAUGCGUAGAUAUGUGGAGGAACACCAGUGGCGAAGGCGACUUUCUGGACUGUAACUGACGCUGAGGCGCGAAAGCGUGGGGAGCAAACAGGAUUAGAUACCCUGGUAGUCCACGCCGUAAACGAUGAGUGCUAGGUGUAGAGGGUAUCGACCCCUUCUGUGCCGCAGUUAACACAAUAAGCACUCCCGCCUGGGGAGUACGGCCGCAAGGUUGAAACUCAAAUGAAUUGACGGGGUCAUAGCUG